rnacentral:rRNA from 1 species
CCGUAGCCUGGUAGCGGGGGAUAACUAUUGGAAACGAUAGCUAAUACCGCAUAAUAGCAGUUGUUGCAUGACAGCUGUUUGAAAGGUGCAAUUGCACCACUACCAGAUGGACCUGCGUUGUAUUAGCUAGUUGGUGGGGUAACGGCUCACCAAGGCGACGAUACAUAGCCGACCUGAGAGGGUGAUCGGCCACACUGGGACUGAGACACGGCCCAG